rnacentral:lncRNA from 1 species
UGGGUUGGCAACCCCACCUACCCUGUCCGGCGGAGGUGAGCGCUUACUUUGGCUCUGGGAUCCGCCAGGGUCUUGCGUCAAACCGACCAGGGUUCUGCGGCCGUUUACUAAGCGUGAGACCCGGAGCAGUCACGCCACCUCCUGAGCCUCAGUGUCUUCAUCUGUAAAGUGGAGGUAGCCACUGCCUACCUCUCCAGGUUGGCCUGAGGAUAAAAGCACCCCAGGCCACCUGUUCCACCGCCACCACUGCUCCCGGAUGGAGGGAUUCGUCCUGGCCCGCAGCAGCUCGGGUGUCGAUGUCACCGAUCGGCAGGUGCCAAACUUCCUGCAACGGAAACCCAGGAAGUGCGCUGGAUGAGAACACACGCCCUUUGUCUGCCAGCUCAGAGGCUCUGCUGCCCUCCGCCCUCCCUGCCAGGCUCACAACGGCUUUCUUCUCCCUUAGAUGGCUCCAGCAGGCAAGGGGCUCAAUCUUCUAUUAGGAUGGUGGCAGCUGAGACCCUGAGUGGCAGGGAAGGGGUGGAAGAGAGGUUUGAGGGCAAGUCUGCUUGCCGGGGCGGGGGUGGCACCUCCACAGUGGAGAGCUUUGACUGAGCAGACACUGACCGGGCACCUACUGUGUGCAAUGCAUGAGUCAAGGAGCCGACGGGAUCAAAUCAGACAUGAUCAGUCCUUGUCCCCACAGUCCUUACAGGGAGAUUGGGUAGAGCAAACCAUAAAGCAAAUUAACAUAACAAUAACCAAUAGUAAAAGGUGCUAUGAAGGAAUGGACAAGGGGUCUGAGACAAAAGGGGGUGGGGUGGGUGUGGGGUGUGGGGUGUGGGGGGAAAUCCUCUCUGAGGAGGUGAGGGUUAAGCUGAGAUGGGGAGGAGCCAGUGUGAGAAUAGGGACGAAUAUUCCCAGGGAAAGGGGGCAGAAGGGAAAACAUGGGCUUUAAAGGUCAGAGGUCAGCUUGGCAGACAGCCUCAGAAGCCCCUUGGGCCUCCCAGCUCCUUCCUCCAUCCUCCAUCUUCCACCCUACCUGCUUGGAGUCAGGUCAGUCCAAUGCUUAUUUCCUGGGCGCUGCUGUGUGUGGGGCCCUGUGCUAGGCAGGGCGGGGAGAGGAGCAGCAUAGAGAAAAGGGAGCUCCCCCAUGGUGGCCGGGUCAGAUGGGGACACAGAUACAGCUGUGAGUAACAUCAGUAUCUGGGAGUGAUUCCAGCUCUGCCACUUGCCAGCCUUGGGCAAAUCACUUCUCUCUGGGCCUCAGUUUCCUCUUGCAACCGAGGGGUUGCCAACCCAGGUUUGUCCCUUGUGGCUUCAUAGCAAGAAUCUGGUGGGGUAAAUGUGGGUAAAAAUACCUGAUGCUCAGUAGGUGUUCAGAGAUGAGUUCCUUUGCUCUCCCUACCACAUGAAGGAUAGAAGUUUUAGUAAGAGGGACAAAGUUCUGAAGGGAAGGGAAGGACGUGACUUUGUCCUGCAAGAGAAUCCAAGGAACAUCCAUGGCUCCUGAUAGCCAGCACUACUUUCCCUGAUUCUGAUAACAGCACUCAGUUUCUGUUUGGGGAACCUCUCUUCCACUCUCAGUGCCUGGUGUAUACAUGACCCAUGUCCAGCCAAUCAUAGUGGCUGUUAGUUCUAAGAUCAGCUCUCUGGGCUUGUUGGCUGGCAGAAUACAAGCUUGACACCACUUUUGCCCCCCACUUGGACCACCACAGAGGACAGCAGAGCAAAGAGAUAGGAAAGAAAGAUAACUGAUUUCAUCAGCUGCUGGAUCCAGCCAUACCUGCAAUCCUACUACCAGACCUCCAGAGUCAAUGCAUUUUUUUCCCUUACUUUUUAUUUUUUAUUCUUUUGAGACAGUCUUGCUCUGUCGCCCAGACUGGAGUACAACUAUGGGCUCCC